UGCAAAACCUAUCCCAAGGUGUGGAACUGCCUACCCCGUCACUUUCCCCCGCCCAUGGAAAAUCUAUAUAUUCUGCUGUAAUCAAUUAAUUGAGAGUACUUGUCAUAAACAGAUAGUUAAGGGUUAAUG